AUGAACUCUCACCAGUCUGCUACUUUUGAGGCUAUCAUUUGUAAGUGUUAAAGUCACAAAUCGGUUAGGGUUUGGUAAGGUUGAAUCUCUACAUAUCUGAGGAAUGUUCUCGUCGACUCCUUGUGUUCCAUCACUGAUAGAUUCUGUUGGGCAGACACUGAGCAAAGGUGUUUCCCCGUUUCUUAUUAGUUUGAACUUAAAUAAGCUUCCUUCUUUCCGGCCGUUUUCUUCACAGAAAUUUCUCCAGCCUCGGGUUAUACAGAAUGUAUCAGACGAUUUGUUGAACCUCAGAUCCAACGCCCAUGAUCUUUCCCUUUCAUCUGUUAAAACAAUCUUGCGGCAUUUUCUUUUAAAACCAUUUGAGAUUGUGAAAUCUGGUGGAAGACACUGCAGAAUAAAUAGGUUCACGCAUUUCAUCAAGUUGUGCAAAACUUUGUUUAGUCUCAUUACUAAAAUAAUUUGACAAAAAUACAUAAUAAACCAAACCCAUGUUGUUGAGGUUAAUUUAUGAUUUUUUUUUGAAUAACAAUGAAAUGCACAAUUCUAGAAACAGCAGUUCAUCUGACAGGUAUGCAAAAACAAUUGAAGAAGUGUAUACACGCACCAGAGAAUCUUCUUCCAGAUUGGAAGCGGUAACAGGGGCCACAAAACAAGAGUUGUCGGACGAAGAAGAAUCAGCUUCUGCUUGGGAAUUGUUCUUCUUCACUUUCUUAUUUCCUGUUAAAACCUCGGAUUUUUUUUUUUAAUUUUGUAAACAUCCGACCAAGUAAUAAGCUCUGACAUAUGUAUAAAUAUUUGUGUCAUUACAAGAAAAAGAUUAGAAGAGAAGUGAAGUUACCGGUGUUGUCCUGACCAUCAUCAACUUCUUCUGUUGUUAUAGGAUGCUUCUUCCUCGAGAUGUAACCUGUUUAGAACAAGUAAACAAUCUCAGUUUUCCCUUCAAACUGGACUACAUUUAAAAAAAUAAUAAUAAUAAUAAAAUAAGUAAACAGAGGCAAACUUACCCAUGUUUGCCUGAUCCUCGUUGUUGGUGUGUGUGUCACAGGAAGUGGAUCCUGAACCAGAGAGCAUCUCUGUGUGGGGCUAAUACCUUCUUCUCCAGGCUUGUUCCUUGUUGAUGCUUCGAGAACAGGAAUCGGCUACAAGUAAAAAAAAAAAUGUAAGCUGUGAAAAAUUCUCAGAAGAGAAAAAGGUUAUCAGUUUUACCUCUUAGAGAGCGAAUGUUCGUAUGCAUUUCUGGAAAAUUCGAAAUCUCAGCGUUAAUUUGGGUGUUGCAACUUUUUGGUUCAAUAUCUCUCGGCUAACGUUCCAAUUUAAAAUCUCUCGAUUUGGGGAUUUGGAGAAGAAGAUUUGAUUGAGAAAUUGCUAACCUUUGAACACAGAUCGAUAAUAAGAGAAGAGAAGCUUCCUUCCGUUGAUAUUGAAGAAGGAAUGACACGUCGAGCUUUAUCUAUGCUCUUCACCAAGUGGGCCUAAUUUGGUUGGGCUUUAAACUCAUUCAGAUCUCAAAUUUCUUUUCAAACCCUUUGACAUUGCAAGUAACAGCAGUUAUUAAACUGACUUUUCAGUGGAGGAGACAAUCUAAAGAGCACAAUAAUCAUUUCUGUUCACGUUCAUUCAUCCCACUCUUUUUUUUUUUUUUUACUCAGCCUAAUAAAAUUUAUAUUAAGAAGAAAAAAAAAACUUUUUAGUUCCUUGGCAUUGUUUCAUUUUUCUACUACAAUAAAUCUUCUAUUGUUUACACAACUUGGCUCUCUAAAUCUAUUCUCCGAACUUAUGAAAUGACUCCAACUCGAAGUACCUAAAGAUAACAAGAAGAUUUUCACCAUGCACACGUAUAUGUAACAACAAACCAUUCAUCUCUUAACUACCCCGCCCACCAGUGUCUUUAACCAGUUGACCGAAACUCUGUAUCUUAUACUUUCAAAAACAAAACUCGGCGUGUUAAUGUUCACGACCACAAACCGAACUCUGCACACAUGAAACCAGUAGGCCAGUUUCAACAACGAUGCUAAUGCAGUGCCUCUUAUUUGAAUACAAAGACCCAUACAUUUGAAAACAUAAGCAAACAGUUUUCAUCAUUUUUUUCACCCGCCAAAGUGACCCACAGUACUUAUUUCUCAAACCAAAUAACAAUUAGCAAACUAAUCAGAGAAAGAAACCUACAGAUGUAGAUCCUUUUGAGGCCGCCAUAGAUAACAUUCGCAAAGGCGUUGGAGAGGAAAGAGGGAGAGAGAGGCUUCAGAACCCGGGCCGUAGAGCCACUCGGUCGCUUUCUCCUUUUCGGGUUUCAGCUUAUCCAUGGGAAGAACAAGAACAGAGAGAGGUACUACAAGGUCAUGAACAGAGAAAGGGCUCUUUCUCUUCUAUACCGUCUACAUCUUCAUCAACUUGCGUGUCUUGCAAGUUAUCUUCCUCAAAGAAAUGGAGGCUAAAGGACUUGCUUCUUUUCCGUAGCGCGUCAGAGGGAAGAGCAAGGCACAACAACAAAGAUUUCGUGAAGUCGUUAUCGGGUUUGUUCAGGAAACAAGAAGACAGCAAGAGCUCGAGCUCGAGCUCUAGAGGAAGAGGAUCACCGUCUGUCUCCUCCGCCCAUGAAUUCCAUUACAUGGCUAAAAAGGCAGAAGCAAAAGGUUUGAAGAAAAAGACUUUCUUGCCUUAUAUGCAAAUAGGAAGAUUCGCCUUCUAAAUUCUUUGAAGCGCAAACCCAAAAUGAUUAUAUUGUUUGCUUAAUUACAUGAUCUAAAGAACUGACUCAUUUCUACUCUCUUGCCUGGUUGAUGUGUUUCGGAAGCAAGUAUAAUGAACCAUAAUCAUUUGAGAUUAUUAUUUCUUGUGCAUAGUAUAGUAUAUUUGUCUAUUUGCAUUAGAGUGACUCACAUUGCAUAACAUCCCAAAAUCUAAGCCCAUACAAAAUUAAUUUUGUUAAAAGAGAAGUCUGAAAGGCCCAUUUAUAAAUACUAAUCAACUCUCUCUCUCUGUGUCUUCUAGAGAUGGUUUUCUUUGUUUUCAAAAAAGUCAGAGAAGACUUUUCUGUAAAUUUUCUAGGAUAAACAUGUUUGUUUUGCAUUUAAAAAAUAAAACUUAAAUAUAAUUUUAUCCGGAUGACUUCCAUGUAAUUUUUCCGGUAGACGACUUUGUGUUUGGCUCCGAGGGGUUAUGUUUACCUCGUCAGUUAAUAGCUCAGCAAAGGCUUUGUGUAUCUGACAGUUAAUUGAAUAAUAAUCUAACAGAUGAAAAAAGAAAAAAAAAUUCAACUCUAAAACAACUGUUAUUUUAUAAAUUUACCAAAGUGCUCGCUAGCGUCAUGAAUCAGUUUUGGACUGGUGAAGAUGCGUUACUCCUCUAUGUUUCCGAUAGUAGGUUCGGCGGAAACAUAUACUUUUUCCCUUUUGGACUCUCUACUGGAGAGACUGAGCAUAGGAGUUGCAUCUUCCCAAAUCGACUCCAACGUAAAGGAUUCACCAAUUUCUAAGCCAUUUCCUCUAGCAAAAUCUUUCCAGCCCUUUCCCAAACUCAUUCUUCCUUGGCUUUCUCGUAGAAGAUUUGUCAUCCACUUUGUACCAUCUUUUCCCAGCAAUGCUAUCGUUCCAGGUUCGUUCAUGCCGUUUUCCCUCAUGAAUGGCAAUGGAAGACCCUGGAAAAAAGAUUUAAACCAAUGAGAAUGCAAGUAACAGAACUAACUAAGAGUUGAUUGAUGAACUCACCAGUCUACUGUUUUUGAAGCUGUCUUGUGUAAGAGUUAAAGUCACAAAUCGGUUCUGGCUUCUGAAUUCCGUACUGAGCAAACUGAGCACAGGAGUUGCAUUUUCCCAGAUCAACUCCAAUGUGAAGGACUCGCCCAUGUUUAAUCCGUUUGCUCUAGCAAAAUCUUUCAAGCCCUUUCCUAAACUCAUUCUUCCUGAGUUUUCCCGUAGAAGAUUUGCCAGCAUCCUUGUACCAUCUUUCCCCAACAAAGUUACCAUACCCGGUUUGUCCAUGCCGUUUUCUUUCAAGAAUGGCAAUGGGAGAUACUAGACAAAUAAAUGAAGCGAGAAUUUAAAAAAAAAAAAAAGAUCAAACCAACAAGAUUUGUUUGUAUGAUGGAUGAACUCUCACCAGUCUGCUACUUUUGAGGCUAUCAUUUGUAAGUGUUAAAGUCACAAAUCGGUUAGGAUUUGGUAAGGUUGAAUCUCUACAUAUCUGAGGAAUGUUCUCGUCGACUCCUUGUGUUCCAUCACUGAUAGAUUCUGUUGGGCAGACACUGAGCAAAGGUGUUUCCCCGUUUCUCAUUAGUUUGAACUUAAAUAAGCUUCCUUCUUUCCGGCCGUUUUCUUCACAGAAAUUUCUCCAGCCUCGGGUUAUACAGAAUGUAUCAGACGAUUUGUUGAACCUCAGA
rnacentral:lncRNA from 1 species